CCUACGGGGGGCUGCAGUGGGGAAUUUUGGACAAUGGGGGCAACCCUGAUCCAGCCAUGCCGCGUGAGUGAAGAAGGCCUUCGGGUUGUAAAGCUCUUUCGGCCGGGAAGAAAUCGUGCGGGCCAAUACCCUGCAUGGAUGACGGUACCGGAAGAAGAAGCACCGGCUAACUACGUGCCAGCAGCCGCGGUAAUACGUAGGGUGCGAGCGUUAAUCGGAAUUACUGGGCGUAGAGCGUGCGCAGGCGGCUGAGAUCCCCGGGCUUAACCUGGGAACUGCGGGUGUGACGGUGGUGAUUGAGUGCGGCAGAGGGGGGUGGAAUUCCACGUGUAGCAGUGAAAUGCGUAGAGAUGUGGAGGAACACCGAUGGCGAAGGCAGCCCCCUGGGUCGACACUGACGCUCAUGCACGAAAGCGUGGGGAGCAAACAGGAUUAGAUACCCGUGUAGUC
rnacentral:rRNA from 1 species